GACGAACCGUGCGAACGUUGUUCGGAAUCACUGGGCUUAAAGGGCGCGUAGGCGGUUGGUCAAGUCAGGGGUGAAAUCUUUCGGCUCAACCGGAAAACUGCCUUUGAUACUGACUGGCUGGAGGGAGAUAGGGGUUGCGGGAACUACCAGUGGAGCGGUGAAAUGCGUUGAUAUUGGUAGGAACGCCGGUGGCGAAAGCGCGCAACUGGAUCUCUUCUGACGCUGAGGCGCGAAAGCUAGGGGAGCAAACGGGG
rnacentral:rRNA from 1 species